rnacentral:rRNA from 1 species
GACGAACGCUGGCGGCGUGCCUAAUACAUGCAAGUCGAGCGGAUCUUUUCCUUCGGGGAAAGGUUAGCGGCGGACGGGUGAGUAACACGUGGGUAACCUGCCCAUAAGACUGGGAUAACAUUCGGAAACGAAUGCUAAUACCGGAUACGCGAAUUGGUCGCAUGGCCAAAUCGGGAAAGGCGGAGCAAUCUGCCGCUUAUGGAUGGACCCGCGGCGCAUUAGCUAGUUGGUGAGGUAACGGCUCACCAAGGCGACGAUGCGUAGCCGACCUGAGAGG